UACGAAGGGUGCAAGCGUUACUCGGAAUUACUGGGCGUAAAGCGUGCGUAGGUGGUUCGUUAAGUCUGAUGUGAAAGCCCCGGGCUCAACCUGGGAACCGCGCUUGAGACUGGCAUGCUCGAGUUCGGGAGAGGAUGGUGGAAUUCCCAGUGUAGAGGUGAAAUUCGUAGAGAUUGGGAAGAACACCAGUGGCGAAGGCGGCUAUCUGGACGGUUUCUGACGCUAAGACGCGAAAGCGUGGGGAGCAAACAGG
rnacentral:rRNA from 1 species